rnacentral:misc_RNA from 1 species
UACAGCAUCACCAAAUAUCACCAAGGCUUACUUAACGUAUUACUUAAAUUUUACUUAAUUACGGAACGUACUAAAUGAUGCCACGUGCAGCAAAUGCACGGGAGAAACGGUAGAAGACCAAACUAAAGACUCAGAUAAAGAUAAUUUCCAAAACGUACGAUAACUUAAUUCGGCCACGAGGUGCGCCGGGAGGAAUUGCAGAAUUGCCCAAAACCCAAAUACGUAAACGGACCGGACCGUACCAAAUUGCAGUGGGGCUCGUACCCACCGACUUACACAAAAUAAACUGCGAUGGGGCUAUACCCACCGACUUACGAAACAAUAAAACAAAAAUACGUAAUACUUUGAGGCAAUUCUCAAUCCUCACGUGGCCAUAUCGUGCCUCUCUUAGAAGGUGGAAAACCUUACCUUAUUGAAGGAGUUCGGCACCCACUGAGUUUACUGAUUCUAACUUACUAAUGUUCAACUAAGGACUAGAUUUAAAUAUACUUUUGAAGCUAAAGGCGGAUGGGAAUGAAUCUAAAUUCAACGAUAGCGGUAGACCUGAGGUGAAAAACGGUAGAGAAACGGUAGAUUUAGGAAAGUGGAAAUGGAAGAUCUUAACUGGUGCGGAAGGAUCUAACUAAAAACGUCCUGUCGGGUCAACGGUAUCUCGUAGAGUAGGACGAGUUGAGCGCCGAUGUCCAGGAUCUUCUUUCUUGGGACUCGUCCGGAUUGGCGAUUCCCUCUCCUAAUUAGGCCACAUUGGUGUAGGGCGCAAUUCUUUGGGUGACAAUUGAAUUUGCCUAUUCGGCGCCUCUCCUCUCCUCUGACGUCAUCAUCCAUGCUUCCUC